rnacentral:lncRNA from 1 species
AAGCCAACAACGUCUCUUCAGAUGGCUUCUACAUCAGCCCAAGGGACACUUCCAGGCCCGAGCCCUGCAAGAUCAUCUCCAAACAUGUCCAAUACCUACUAUAUGCCCCAGUCAAUCUAGAGGAAUCUAGGGUUCCGCCAGGUUCGAACACGGUCCAGGCCUAAGAAAAACCUGGAAAAUGGAAAAACUGGAGCAAUAUCCUGCCUAAGGAAAGCCUACUGAGAUAGAGAAACUUUGGUUAACUCAAGUGCACAGGUUAUCUACCGAAUUCGAUGACAAACUGGAGAAAUAUGGGGCAAACUGUUGGGUAAAAAUACUCUGGUAUAAGAAUUCCCCAAGCCUCGGGCAGGACACCAGCCUCCAGGUUCCUGUUAGAAAAAAGUUUUGGUUCCUACCCUUGCUUUCGUCUGCGCCUCCGGGUAAAAUGGAAUUUUUCUACUUAGGAGAUUCUUCCAUAUUUCCGAAUAUGGAUGAGUUUAGCCUACUUAAGCGACAUCUCCACGACUAAAUAAGGGGAGCCCAUACCCUAGAAUAAGGGAUAGACAUUCAGAGACUAAGAGAUUAGAGUUAGGCAGCUAGAACUAGGGUUUACACACCAACUGUUGUAGUUCCUUCUCAUUCAAUCAAUAAAACAUCUCUUUGCUCUUUAUUCUUGCUUGUUUUCCAGCUCUUCUAUUGUUCUAUAGUACUCACA